AUGAUGCUCUUAAUCAGACAAAACAAGAUUCGUCUCUCGUGUGCCACGUGCAGCUGCGAUAGUGUUUCUCUCUCUCUAUCUCUCGACUUUUGCUUCUUCGAUUGGAAUCGGAGUACUGGAUGUCGUCGUGUCGAACAGCCACCGUCACCCUUCAGCUCCCGCCUUCGAUGUCGAACAGCCACCGUCAUCAUCGAUCGAGAUCGUCACCCAGAUGCCUCACCUGGCACACCCAUCCGUCCUCACCUCCAUGACCAACGCCAUCUCCGACAUGACCAACACCAACGCCGUCCUCGCGAUCUUUGUCUCCCCUCUUCACCAUCGCUUCAUCACGCCUCGAUUCCGUCGGAAACGUCGCGAUUCGAGCUCAACAGCGGCGGAUGCGUCGGCUGGGGAGAAGCUCCGAUUCUUCUUUCGGUGACGGCGGAGGAUCAUAUUACGGCCAUGGUUAAAGCCCGGGAAGCCUUCGAGCUUCUCAGAGAGCUACCGGAGAUGAAACUAGGUCACGUUCUUCAAGAGAUUGGUGGGAUUCUCCCUUGCCAUCGAUUUGCAUCUGUAAGAGCUGGGGUGGAGAUGGCUAUGAUUGAUGCUGCUGCUAAGAGCGUUGGAGUGCCAUUGUGGAAACUCUUUGUGGCGAGAGAGGGGUGGUUUCUAGAGAGGAAGCAGUGAUGCGCGUAGAGAAGCGGUGUUUCUUGAGGAAUCAUUCAGUAGAGCAAGAGCUUUUACAGAUGCUGGAGCACAUGUACUGUCCAUUGAUUCUCUUGUAUCUAGAGAAGAGAUGAAAUCAUUCUGCAACGUCUAUCCACUAGUUCCUAAACUGAUGGGGCAACUUACUCUUACAUGUGGUAAAUGGAUAUAUCAAGAAACUAGAUGGCUAUUUGGUGUUGACAAGAAAAAAGAGAGAAAAGUCAUAGAAGUAAGCGAUAUGAUUUGCUAUGAAGUUUUUGUUCAGAUGGUGAUCAGAGAAUACAAAGUUGAUACACAAAAUUCCAAGGUAGAAUUGAGCUACAUGUAUCCAAAAAAGGUUUUGUUGACAUUACCACAUAACACACCGCCUAUAGAUAUCGGAAAUCAAAGACAAUUUUCUGGAAUUUUGGAGCAACUAAAGACCGAACCUAUGAAUAUUUGUCUCGAACUUAAGGAAAUAGAUUUGGAGGAAGAAGAUGAUGAUGUAGUAACUCAUACAGACUAGGACCAACACAUGUACACACAUUCAGUUCUGCCCAAAAUUCUUUAUGGUCAACUUUGCAAAGGUCACCAUCAUCAAAAAUAGCACAAUUCAAACUAGUUAUCUCACCAAACUCUAACAAAGAGAGACGAAUGGGCUGCCAAUCAAUCAACGACCAUAUCUCAUAAUUCUUUCUAACUACCAGCUGAUGCGUUAAGAGGUAACGAACAACCUUUGCAGACCAUGUGAAAUCAAGCUCGUAAAAUCUAGGAAAAACUCCAACUGAUGACUUCUUCAGUGCAUCCCAUGCAUCGUUUCCUACUCAUACUUCCACCAUUUGAAAAUUUGACAAAUAACUAUAGUAACUCAUAGAGUUUGAAUGGUAAUCAAGGGAAUGAAGAGGAACAAUACAUUCCUUAACGUUCCUCAAAAAUGUUACCAUUCAUGAGGAAUAUUUUUUCCUCUUCGUUCCUUCUCAUUCCCUUUUUUGUAGAAAAUUACACUGCAAAUUUAUUCCUUGUUAAUUUUGAUAAGGAACUCUCAUUCCUCAUCAUUCCCAAAAUUUUAUUCCUAUUCAUUCUUUUUCUAUUCAUUCCUAAUGUUCCUCGAUGGUUGUUGAGGCCAUAUCUAGCAAUGGAAAGUUCAAAGUAACAUUAGCAUGAAAUAACUACAGCGAAAUAACAAAUAAAUAUCUAUAUAUAUAAAGUAGACUUUGUUCUCUUCUUAUGACAUGUGAAAUAGGGGUUUGUUGACAUGUGUCCACGUGUUUUUCUUUUUGUAUUUUAGAUCUUUUUUCUUAUAGAUUAUUACAUUUGUCUCAUCACUUUCUAAUUGUGCACUAUCUAAUCAUUCUCACAUUAAGUAUCAUUAUCGCUUGAGAAUCUAUUUUAUUGGUCACUAAAAUUCUAAAAUAAGUAAAAUAAUAUAAAUAUAUUUUAAAUGUUUAAUUUAUUCACAACUAAAAAUAGCAUCAACUUUCAUCAUUUUAUUAUUUUUAUUAUUUUCUAUUAUUUCUUUUACAAAUUAUAUAUUUAAUUUACAAUUAAAGUUAUAAAAUAACCAAACUAAAAAUAAGAAACUAGAGCACAACACAAAAUUUAAACCUAAAACCUCCAUUAUCACUGGGAAAUCAAAAUGCCAUAUUAACGCUAAUUCAAUAGAGGUCUAUAGCUGAAAGGAGAUCAAGAACGAAGACUAACUUACCUCAUUGUACCAUAAAGUGUCUUGGCCAGAACAAGUAAAAAAAAAGGAGAUAGAAAGAUAAAAUCUGAAACAAAGCAAUCCUCCGAACAAAAAUAAGCGCGAUAUGCAAAUAAUUAGGAAAGCGGACAAGAUGGAGAAUAAUAAUCGGAAGGCCAAAGUCAUCAAAAAGCAGGAAGAUACAUGCCUAAAGUACUGGAAGCACAACCACUAGCAAAAAGGUAAGAAACACCUCACAAACUAAACAAGAACAGACAAGGCGCUCAUGCAAGUGAAGAAACACAAAUCUCUGGAUAGAAGGGACCAAAGCUCCAAGAGACUAACUCCGCACACCUAUACCAAAAGAAACAUGGGAAGAAGAGAAACAACAUGAGGGAGGGAUAAUAGAAACCAACCACCGCGAAAUCAGAGAAUAAGCUUGAGACCAGAAAUAACCUUCAAAGCCCACAUACCAUACACAAACGAAAACAUUAUCCAAACCUGGAGUGGUAAGCAUGGUGAAAGGGAGAGCUACAAGAGAUGCGAGCAGCGAUGAAAGCUGCAACGAGAUGAGAAAACAGAGAGGGAAAGUGAGACAAAACAAAAUCAUCAAACUAUGGAGCUGUCCUCGAGUUAUGAAAGAGAGCAUAGAAGUCAGAUCCCCAAAAACUAGAUCUUGAAAACCAAGACGAGCAAGGACUAUUGACGGCAAACCAACGACGAGGAAGACAACAUCAAAGACGACUAAAAUCUGACCCAGCCCAAGGAGAUGCAGUUCUUAACAUCAGCCGAAAUCUAAGGAAGAAGAGGAGCAACCAAUAUUGACUGGAAAAGCCUACAACGUUGUGAGAAACAACCACACAACUGGGAACUCAUAAAGUCAGUUUACAGCAAAUUCUAUAAUCUCACUGACAAAGAAGGCGAGGAAGAACAAGAGCAGGAGGUGAAUCUUUUUCCGGUGAUGGUGACGAUUCAAGGUCAAAAUAUGGAGAGAGGAAAAAAACAUCUUAAAAGUUAUAAUGUUCAAAAAUAUGAACAAAAUAAAAUAAAAUUUUGACGUUGAAAACAUUAAUCUUAAAAUCGACAAUGCGUAAAAUACGCAUCAUAUCAGUCUAAAAUAAGCUACAAUGUCAAGUUGAGAGGUAGGGAUUUGACUGCUGGGAAACGGAGAAUGAUUUAUACUACUGAUUCUUGGACGCUAAAUAAAAUCUUGUUUCCUAAAGCCUUAAUUGGGUCAACUCGUUCCGCAGAUACAGCAAAAAUUGACCAUGAUUUGACUUCAAAGAAGCUAUUGUAUGCUGCCAACUGGACAAUGGAACAGGAAGAGGACAUUCAACUCUAUCUGGUGUGGAUUAGUUGAUUUGGUUCCAGGCUGCAACAAUACUGUCCCUUUUUCCUGUGUUUUCUCAAUAUGUUGAAAGAUGAGUUGCAGCAUCCAAUCUGGAGUCAUAUAUCCAGCUGUCGAAAACACCUGAAAUCCCUCUGCAAACUGGAUCCAGAUGCUUUUUCAAUUCCGAUGAUGUCCUCCAAGUUGAUUGAUAUAGCAGCAUCGAAUGAACAGUCAAAACCCCUUAGUAAAACCCUCUUUGAGUCUCUUAGCUCUGUUGGCGUUCUUCGGCUUACCUAUCAGCAGUGGCUUGCAGAAAAUAACUACAACCACACUGAUGUAUCCUCUUUUAUUCGCUUUCUGGAUUCCCUUCGCGCACUGGAGAAGAAAAUUCUUAGCGAAAUUGUUGGAUCACCUUCUUUCACUGUGUUGAUUCAGUUGUACAUUGAAGUUAUUGAAAAGCAUUCAUUUUUCUGGUCUGAUUUGGUCUCGUCUUCAGACGAGUGUAAAUUGUUUUUCUUUUGGUCACUAAUAAAGGCUAUCAAAAAGUUGGACAGUUC